UUCCCUUCUACCAACCCGCUCCAUAAGGUCUUUAACCGCAACACAGUCAAAGUUAGCUACUCCUGCAUGGAGAAUAUCAAAACCAUAAUAUCCCGACAUAACCAUCGCCUGUAAAAAGAAAACACCUGCACAAAAACCUAUCCCAUGCAACUGCCAAAAACCAGAUGAAUGCCCACUAGACGGAAAGUGCAAAGUAGACAACAUUGUCUACAAAGCUACGGUGACAACAAGUGAUGACGGAA